AGUGAACGCUGGCGGUAGGCCUAACACAUGCAAGUCGAACGGCAGCACAGUAAGAGCUUGCUCGUACGGGUGGCGAGUGGCGGACGGGUGAGGAAUACAUCGGAAUCUACUUUUUCGUGGGUGAUAACGUAGGGAAACUUACGCUAAUACCGCAUACUACCUACGGGUGAAAGCAGGGGAUCUUCGGACCUUGCGCGAUUGAAUGAGCCGAUGUCGGAUUAGCUAGUUGGCGGGGUAAAGGCCCACCAAGGCGACGAUCCGUAGCUGGUCUGAGAGGAUGAUCAGCCACACUGGAACUGAGACACGGUCCAGACUCCUACGGGAGGCAGCAGUGGGGAAUAUUGGACAAUGGGCGCAAGCCUGAUCCAGCCAUACCGCGUGGGUGAAGAAGGCCUUCGGGUUGUAAAGCCCUUUUGUUGGGAAAGAAAAGCAGCAGGUUAAUCCCCCGCUGUUCUGACGGUACCCAAAGAAUAAGCAACGGCUAACUUCGUG
rnacentral:rRNA from 1 species